rnacentral:rRNA from 1 species
CCUACGGGAGGCAGCAGUGGGGAAUCUUGCGCAAUGGGGGCAACCCUGACGCAGCCAUGCCGCGUGAAUGAUGAAGGCCUUAGGGUUGUAAAGUUCUUUUGCCCGUGACGAUGAUGACGGUAACGGGAGAAUAAGCUCCGGCUAACUUCGUGCCAGCAGCCGCGGUAAUACGAAGGGGGCUAGCGUUGUUCGGAAUUACUGGGCGUAAAGCGCGCGCAGGCGGUUCGAUAAGUUAGGGGUGAAAUCCCUGGGCUCAACCCAGGAAUGGCCUUUAAGACUGUCGAGCUAGAGGACGAGAGAGGUGAGUGGAAUUCCCAGUGUAGAGGUGAAAUUCGUAGAUAUUGGGAAGAACACCGGUGGCGAAGGCGGCUCACUGGCUCGUUUCUGACGCUGAGGCGCGAAAGCGUGGGGAGCAAACAGGAUUAGAUACCCUGGUAGUCCACGCCCUAAACGAUGAGUGCCAGGUGUCGGGAAGCUUAGCUUCUCGGCGCCGCAGCUAACGCCUUAAGCACUCCGCCUGGGAGUACGGCCGCAAGGUUAAAACUCAAAGAGAGUAGACGUGUGAGAGCGACGACGACGACGACGGAGGAGGAGG